GACGAACGCUGGCGGCGUGCUUAACACAUGCAAGUCGUACGGUAAGGCCCUUUCGGGGGUACACGAGUGGCGAACGGUGGGGAACCAGUGAGUAAACCGUCCCCAACUUUUGGAUAACGGCAGGGAACCUGUGGCAACUCCCGAUAAGUGCCCCUUCUGCCUGGGGGGGGUUGGAAAGCCUCGGCGGUUGUGGAUGGACUGGCGGCCUAUCAGCCUGUUUGGGGGGUUGUGGGCUUCCAAGGCGGCCACGGGUAGCCGGCCUGGGAGGGUGACCGGCCACAUUGGGACUGAGAUACGGCCCAGACUCCUACGGGAGGCAGCAGUGGGGAAUAUUGCACAAUGGGCGCAAGCCUGAUGCAGCAACGCCGCGUGCGGGAUGACGGCCUUCGGGUUGUAAACCGCUUUCAGCAGGGACGAAGCUUUUUGUGACGGUACCUGCAGAAGAAGCACCGGCUAACUACGUG
rnacentral:rRNA from 1 species